rnacentral:rRNA from 1 species
UACGUAGGGGGCAAGCGUUGUCCGGAAUCAUUGGGCGUAAAGAGCGUGUAGGCGGCCAGAAAAGUCCGCUGUGAAAACUCGAGGCUCAACUUCGAGCUGUCGGUGGAAACUUUCUGGCUAGAGUCCGGAAGAGGAGAAUGGAAUUCCUGGUGUAGCGGUGAAAUGCGCAAAUAUCAGGAAGAACACCCGUGGCGAAGGCGGUUCUCUGGGACGGUACUGACGCUGAGACGCGAAAGCGUGGGGAGCGAACAGG